rnacentral:lncRNA from 1 species
AACCAUGUGCAGUCCGAAGAGCCACUCCUUAACUAGCACUGAAAGAAAAAACAGCAUCAGAAUAAAGGAAGGCUUUAAGGAGAGAUUUGAAUGACAACAACAUAAGUUUAGUGAAUGAGCAGCUCCCACAUGCAAAGAGUGGCAUGGAGGUUGGUCAAAGGAUUCUUCAUUUCUUGACAUUAAAUAAGGACCAAAUAUCUUUCUUAAAUUAUCUAGCAUCUUUAAAAGCUAUAAAUUAAAAACAACCAGUAAAGGUAACCAGUAAAGUCUUGGGUCAAGAAGUUAAAUACAUAAAAAUUAAAAUUAUGACUC